ensembl:lncRNA
GCCACAGGUACCGUGGAAUACGACGCAUGCCAAUAUGGCACCUCAUUGUUCAUUUAUAGGGGCUGUACAGACUGACAGAGUGUAUUACUAAUCCAGACCAGGAGUGGCUCUCUUAUGUGUACAUCUGUGGGGGCAUAGUGACCCUUCUCUUUCUGGGGAUGAUGAUCUCCUUCCUGAGUCUACAUGGAUGCAAACGACAAGACACCACAGGACCUUUUUACUGUGGUGAUGUAUUCCACAGCAGAGAAUAUCCAAUCAAGAGUUCUUUCAGCUGAAUGAUGGACAAGUCAGCCCCUGUAAUGACUGUCAAGUUUAGCACACCUUUGAAUAUUAAAUAAUUUCUCUAAUGAACUUAUAAUACUGUUCAAUUAUUUUUGGUUUUGUAUUUUUUCUUAACUGUUAUUGGAUGAAGCAUUAUUAACUGUAGGUACUGUCAUGGUGACCUCCAUUUUGUGAAGUGUGUGAUUGGGCCUAUGGUGUUCUGAUGCUAUGUGCCACUGUGUAGCCUAGCGUAGUACGCUUACAGGCAGUUUAUAAAGGUUAUGUGUUUAGCACAUUAGCACUGCAAUUGUAUUAAUGUUCUGUGCAUGUUAUUGCCUCCCUUGAUAUCCUUAUCGAUUUAUAACCAACCUCAAAUGCGGCUCAUCUCAGAAUAAAAAGUAUUGUUGGGGUGAAAAAUCAUUUGAUCAAGGCCCUCCUGUUUUUAUUUUUACAAUUACAAGUACUUAGAUCACUAAUAAACAUUUCAGUCUCGUGGUGAAAUUGUUAUGUAUGAGACUUCAGCGUGCAUGUCUGGCACGCUUGAGCCACAAGAUGGCACUUCUGAGUCACCAAAUAAUAGUGGUAGAGAAACACACACACACACACACACACACACAC